rnacentral:sRNA from 1 species
AUUUAAAAUUGUAAUUUCAGUAGCAACUGCAACUUGAAACUUUUAUAUGGGAAGUAUUAUUACUUAUAAAGUAUUUGCUCUUUUCUAGGCAGCUAUUUUUGCUAUGAUAAUCCUGCUGCCCUUCAGACUCAAGUUAAACGAGAUAUGCAAGUGAAUACCACGAAAUUCAUGCUGCUGUAUGCCUGGUAUUCUUGGCCCAAUGUAGUUUUGUGUUUCUUUGGUGGCUUUUUGAUAGACCGAGUAUUUGGAAUACGAUGGGGCACAAUCAUUUUUAGCUGCUUUGUUUGCAUUGGACAGGUUGUUUUUGCCCUGGGUGGAAUAUUUAAUGCUUUUUGGCUGAUGGAAUUUGGAAGAUUUGUAUUUGGGAUUGGUGGCGAGUCCUUAGCAGUUGCCCAGAAUACAUAUGCUGUGAGCUGGUUUAAAGGCAAAGAAUUAAACCUGGUGUUUGGACUUCAACUUA